GACGAACGCUGGCGGCGUGCCUAACACAUGCAAGUCGAGCGAAUGAAGUUCCUUCGGGAACGGAUUAGCGGCGGACGGGUGAGUAACACGUGGGCAACCUGCCUCAUAGAGGGGAAUAGCCUUCCGAAAGGGAGAUUAAUACCGCAUAAGAUUGUAGUACCGCAUGGUACAGCAAUUAAAGGAGCAAUCCGCUAUGAGAUGGGCCCGCGGCGCAUUAGCUAGUUGGCGAGGUAACGGCUCACCAAGGCGACGAUGCGUAGCCGACCUGGGAGGGUGAUCGGCCAGAUUGGGAAAGGGACACGGCCAAGAAUCCUACGGGAGGCAGCAGUGGGGAAUAUUACACAAUGGGGGAAACCCUGAUGCAGCAACGCCGCGUGAGUGAUGACGGUCUUCGGAUUGUAAAGCUCUGUCUUUAGGGACGAUAAUGACGGUACCUAAGGAGGAAGCCACGGCUAACUAAGUGCCAGCCGCCGCCGUAAGAC
rnacentral:rRNA from 1 species